AAAACAUAUUUUACAUCAUACAGUUUGAAAAAUUGGAUUAGAAUAACAAAUCAGUUAAUAACAAAUUGUUUAAUCAUACAGAAAAGCUAGCGUCAUAAAAUUUUUGUGUGAGUUCCAUCUUACAAUACAGUCAUUUAAUUCAGAAUUUUUUAAAUUAUCAUCAUAUUUCUAUAUAUUAUUAAACAACAUAAUUAAAAGUUAUAAUAUUUUAAUAAAAAAGAUUGAGGGCUUAGUCGGUGAUUUAAUCCUUUGAAGGAUGAAGUAAGAGAGAGAGAGAGGAUCUUUCUAGAAGAAAUGUGGCAAGCCACUAGUGGAGAAAGUGCACUCUUUAAUCUAUUAUUACAAUAUAUGAAUGAGAUAAUGGAUGAAUUCUGUCUCUCACUCACCUGGGAAAUCAAAUAUUUCUAUACUUACAUAUUUUAUCAGAUGGUUAAGAUGAUUUUCAAGCCUAAUCAAAAAUAUGACAAUGCAGUACUAUUAUACUUUCAUUUUUUAUUAUUACUAUUAGAAGUAAUUAUUCUGUUAUAAUAAUUAUCAUAUUGUAAAUAAUUCAUAUUGAUCAUAUUUUC
rnacentral:lncRNA from 1 species